AUUGAACGCUGGCGGCAGGCUUAACACAUGCAAGUCGAGCGGGGUGAUGUAGCUUGCUACAUUACCUAGCGGCGGACGGGUGAGUAAUGUUUAGGAAUCUGCCUAUUAGUGGGGGACAACAUUCCGAAAGGAAUGCUAAUACCGCAUACGCCCUACGGGGGAAAGCAGGGGAUCUUCGGACCUUGCGCUAAUAGAUGAGCCUAAGUCAGAUUAGCUAGUUGGUGGGGUAAAGGCCUACCAAGGCGACGAUCUGUAGAGGGUCUGAGAGGAUGAUCCGCCACACUGGGACUGAAACACGGACCAGACUCCUACGGGAGGCAGCAGUGGGGAAUAUUGGACAAUGGGCGAAAGCCUGAUCCAGCCAUGCCGCGUGUGUGAAGAAGGCCUUUUGGUUGUAAAGCACUUUAAGCGAGGAGGAGGCUACUUGGAUUAAUACUCUAGGAUAGUGGACGUUACUCGCAGAAUAAGCACCGGCUAACUCUGUGCCAGCCGCCGCCGUAA
rnacentral:rRNA from 1 species